rnacentral:rRNA from 1 species
ACAUGCAAGUCGAACGCGAAGGGACUUCGGUCCUGAGUAAAGUGGCGGCACGGGUGAGUAACGCGUAGAUAACCUGUCUUCAUGUCUGGAAUAAUACGCCGAAAGGGGUACUAAUACCGGAUAUUCUUGCUUUUCAUAAGUUAUGCAAGCAAAGGUGGCCUCUGCAUAUGCUACUGCAUGAAGAGGGGUCUGCGUACCAUUAGCUAGUAGGUGGGGUAAUGGCCUACCUAGGCGACGAUGGUUAGCGGGUCUGAGAGGAUGAUCCGCCACACUGGCACUGGAACACGGGCCAGACUCCUACGGGAGGCAGCAGUGAGGAAUAUUGCGCAAUGGGGGAAACCCUGACGCAGCGACGCCGCGUGAGUGAAGGAAGGCCUUCGGGUCGUAAAGCUCUGUCAAGAGGAAAGAAGUGUACAAUGGCUAAUACCUGUUGUAUUUGACGGUACCUCUAAAGGAAGCACCGGCUAACUCCGUGCCAGCAGCGGC